rnacentral:lncRNA from 1 species
GGGAAGGUUCUGGAAGAUAAGGCCGCCAUCUUGUACUGUGAAGAUAACAGUAGGCGCUGUUGAAGCAGGUGAGAGACUGAUCGGCCUUUUAAGAUGGGAGCGAAAUAUAAACACCGCCUUCACUUGGUAUCACAUGCACGGUGUCACUAUGUCUGACACCAGACUAUUAUAUGAACACACAGCGGGAUAAACAUCCGGCUCCAGCUCUCUGUGGGAGUCGCUGUCACCCGGACUAGUCCGUAUUUACCAAUGGGGAGCGUUACCCCCUCACUCUGCACUGCAUCCGGGACAUGGCUCCUAGCCGCGUUAUAACUCACUGCCUUAUAUUAUAAUAUGAUCCUAGCUCUCACUGUUAUAUUAUAAUAUGAUCCUAGCUCUCACUGGCGCGUUAUAACUCACUGCCUUAUAUUAUAAUAUGAUCCUAGCUCUCACUGUUAUAUUAUAAUAUGAUCCUAGCUCUCACUGCUGCGUUAUAACUCACUGUUAUAUUAUAAUAUGAUCCUAGCUCUCACUGCUGCGUUAUAACUCACUGUUAUAUUAUAAUAUGAUCCUAGCUCUCACUGGCUGCUGCCUUAUAUUAUAAUAUGAUCCUAGCUCUCACUGGCUGCGUUAUAACUCACUGCCUUAUAUUAUAAUAUGAUCCUAGCUCUCACUGGCUGCGUUAUAACUCACUGUUAUAUUAUAAUAUGAUCCUAGCUCUCACUAAUAUGAUCCUAGCUCUCACUGACUGCGUUAUAACUCACUGUUAUAUUAUAAUAUGAUCCUAGCUCUCACUGGCUGCGUUAUAACUCACUGUUAUAUUACAAUAUGAUCCUAGCUCUCACUGGCUGCGUUAUAACUCACUGCCUUAUAUUAUAAUAUGAUCCUAGCUCUCACUGGCUGCGUUAUAACUCACUGUUAUAUUAUAAUAUGAUCCUAGCUCUCACUGGCUGCGUUAUAACUCACUGUUAUGUUAUAAUAUGAUCCUAGCUCUCAGCGUUAUAACUCACUGUUAUAUUACAAUAUGAUCCUAGCUCUCACUGCUGCGUUAUAACUCACUGUUAUAUUACAAUAUGAUCCUAGCUCUCACUGCCUUAUAUUAUAAUAUGAUCCUAGCUCUCACUGGCUGCGUUAUAACUCACUGCCUUAUAUUAUAAUAUGAUCCUAGCUCUCACUGGCUGCGUUAUAACUCACUGUUAUAUUAUAAUAUGAUCCUAGCUCUCACUGGCUGCGUUAUAACUCACUGCCUUAUAUUAUAAUAUGAUCCUAGCUCUCACUGGCUGCGUUAUAACUCACUGCCUUAUAUUAUAAUAUGAUCCUAGCUCUCACUGGCUGCGUUAUAACUCACUGCCUUAUAUUAUAAUAUGAUCCUAGCUCUCACUGGCUGCGUUAUAACUCACUGCCUUAUAUUAUAAUAUGAUCCUAGCUCUCACUGGCUGCGUUAUAACUCACUGUUAUAUUAUAAUAUGAUCCCACCUCUCACUGGCUGCGUUAUAACGCACUGUUAUAAUAUGAACCUAGCUCUCACUGGUUGUGUCUGUCAGACUCAGUAAGCAUUAUGGUCCAUGUUUACAUUACUAACCUGCCUUGUGUGAGGAUUUGGGGGAAUUUGUUUUAUAUAUUAUGGAGAGGGUGAAUCUGUAUCCAUUUGUGUUGUGUGUUAACGUAAGGGCACUGUCUGCUAAGGAAGGCCGAUGGUCGUUUGAGAAACCGUUUUGAAACUGCAUAAAUCAGGAAUGCAUUAAAUAAAAAUUGUUGUAUUCGUUUAAUAUUGGUUCCAGUUUUGUGCCCAUGUACUAUUUUCUUAUGUGUUACAUUAUCACUUCGCCUGUUAUCCAGUGGUAACUUUUUAUUUACUUAUUCUCCUUUUCUGUAAUCUGCCAUUAAAGGCUGUCUUUAUGCCACUUUUUAUUCUCCUCUCUUGUACACUUUGAUUUUGUUUUUCUAAUAAUAUUUUUUGCAUUGUUAAACUCAAAAUAAUUACUCAAAUUAAUGUUGUUAGGAAAAUUAUGCCUUCAGAAUUUGAAGAGUUAUGUAGUGGUUCUGGUGCCUAUAAUCAGUCCAUGCAGGCUUUUCAGAGAAAAUGCAGUGUUUACUUUGCUGCCUAGUGACACAUCUGUGGCAGUCACUCAGACAGUCACUGGAGGUGUUAUCUAGUCCACUGUGUUCAGCGCCUCCACACUGCAUGGAGGCACCGAAUGUUCCCCAGAGAGAUGCAUUGAUUCAAUGUACAAUAUCCUCCUGCUUUAUUAUGGGAAUGUAUUGGAUUGGUUGUGAUGAACAAGAUUGAUUACCUCAACCAUGGAUGGGUGGGAGAAGAAUUUAGUAAAAUUACCAAAUUUUACUAACUUCAUGACGUAAAGUCUUGAUUUUAUUAAGGACACGGAGGCGAGUAUUAGGCUUUAUCUCUUUCUUUAUUCCUUGGCAGCAAAGAAAGGAUAUUGAAAUAUUCAGAGAAAAAACAAAUAACGUACCUAACGGGUUAAAUACACUAUAAACAUAUUACCCAAUGAUAAUGCUCCUUGCACCAUAAUGUCCCAUGUGACCAUAACCCACUCCUCUUUCUUGAUGAUACUGAUGAAUAUCCCAUCAAAACAGAACCGGAGACUUAAUCAACCGUGGAGAAUAAACUGUGCUCCCGAACAAUGGAACCGUAGAAAUUGAAGGAACUGUAGAACAAUGCUCCCACUUUCCAUGAACCAACUUGUAUCGAUGUAGGAUUCCAAUCAAGAGGCUGGAAGAAACAGAGAUAUACGUGGUAAAAUAUGAUCAGAGAGAGAGAGAGAGAGAGAGAGAGUGUGUGUAUGUAUGUAUGUAUGUAUGUGUAUAUGUGUGUGUAUAUAUAUAUAUAUAUAUAUAUAUAUUACACACACACGAUUUUUGACUAACAUCUGUCGUUUAAACAUAAUCCCAAAUUGGAGUAAACAAACGUCCUCAACAGUGUCAUGAAGUUAUAUGCCCAUUAGGGACUUGGGUAUGGCGCAACUUGCCAUGUCUGGGUGGGAUAAUACUCGCCUCUGUAUCCUUAAUAAAAUCAUGACUUUACCUCAUGAAAUUAGUCAAAUCUGGUAAUUUUAUUAAAGGACACGGAGGCUCAUAUUAUGCUAGUUCAAAGCUGUGUUACCACCGUAGAAAAAAAAUGUGGAGUUGGCCAAAAAUAGAACUCCUGAAACGUAGAUUCUCAGGACCAAUCAGCAGCAUGUAGGAGAUUACCCAGUCUACAUCCCAACGCAAAGGCUUUAGAUGCCAUAGCAUCUCUAACAGAGUGUGCUCCGUACAUGGACGUGUCAAUGCCAGCUGACAUCAGAAUCCAUCUAUACAUUGUAACUGUGGAAGUCGAAGAGAUAUAAAUAAAUUCGUGUAUGAAUUGUCCUGUACUGAGGAUGUCCUGUCUUCAUAUUCAUUCAGGCAAUCCACCGGACAUAGGUUGAUAUUGUGCGGGAAUGCCGGACCACAAAACGAAGAGAUGGAUGUCUUAGUACGUCCCAUGAUGUUAAAGGUGACGCCAUCUGGAGCAAAAGAAUGUGUUGUAAUAUCCAGUGCCUGAGCAUCUGAGACUCGAUUACAAGAAAUUAAACAGAAUAACAUGACCAGCUUAGCCGUGAGUUGUUUGAGUGAAAGGUCUGAAUGUUCUGAAGCCAACUAUCAAACAAUCUGAGGACAAUGUUAACAUCCCACACCGAUGAAUAUUUAGGGAGAGGUGGUUGUGCAAACCUGAUGCCACGAAGUAGUCGACACUAUAAGGGGUGUUGCCUACUGGGGAUCCAUUCCAACCUUGGUGUCUUGCAGAUCUAUAGAUAUUCACCGUACAGUAGGUCAAUCCGCGUUCGAAAAGUACAGUAAGGAAACUCAAAACGUGAUUCACAGGUGUAGAUAAGGGAUCCAGUUUUCAUUCCAUGAGUUCCAGGCAUGGAGAUAUGAUUUCUGUGUUCCUAGAGCCCAAGCUCCUGCCAAGAGGUCCCUAGUUGUUUGUGAAACUUAUGUGAGGAGACUGAAUCCCCGUAGUGGAAUCAAGCCAAUAGCUUGAGCUGUCCUUGGAGUAUAAGUGGAUGACCGUUCCCAUCUAGAUGAAUCAAAAGGUCUGAGGAUGUCGGGAGUAACCUUUGGUAAUCUAUUGACAUAUCCAGGAGUGUAGGGAAACCACGGUUGAGUCGUCCAAAACGGGGCAAUGAGAAUCAGUUAACGUCUGAGAUGAAGUGUCCGGGCAAUCAGAGAAAAUGGAGGGAAAGCGUGAUCUGACGCCAGGGCUUCCGGAUCAGGUCUCCAGCUGAAAAACUGGUAGUUGGGCAUUCAACCGUGAUGCGAAAAGGUCGAUGUCUAGGGGUCCCCACAGUGCCUGCAGGCGAAGAAAUACAAAAGGAUUCAGCUGCCAAUCGCUGGUAUCCCUCAAGUACCUGGAAUUCCAAUCUGCCCCCACGUUGGACGUUCCGAGGAUAUACUCCACUCGUAUCAAGAUGUUGUGGUGCAGGCAGAAAUGCCAGAAUUCCUACGCUAGUUCCGCCAAGACUAGUGAUUUUGUGCCCCCGAGGUGGUUGAUUUAACGCACCGCUGAUACGUUGUCCAUCUGUAACACGAGGAAGCAGUUGGUUGAUACAGCUGGGAGGUUUCGCAGGGCAAACGAACCCACUAGCCAUUCGAGGCAAUUGAUAUGCAUGGUCUUUUCUUCCAUGGACCAUUUCCCACAUGUGUAGGUAGGACCGCAGCGCGCCCCAGCCGAGCAUACUUGCAUCUGAUUCUAUUGUGAAGUCCGGGUAGUGCCGAAGAUUGCUCGUCCGUUCCACGCCUCCAUGUGUUGCAGCCAUCACUGGAGUUCCUCUCUGGAUGGACAGUCGAGAGGAACAGAGUCUGAGUAGGAUUGACCCUAGAGUAGGUGUUUGGCCUUCAGGUGUUGAAGUGCCCUGUAGUGGAGUGGGCCAGGGAACGUCUCUUGGAUCGAUGCUGAGGAGACCAAUGAUUAUGGCUAGUUGCCUAGGGAUCCGGACCGGAUGGAGGGUGGUAGAAGUGUCACACAUGGAGUCUAUGGUGAAACCUAGGAAUUCUAUAGAUUGUGGAGGUUCGGUGAUUAAUUUUUUCCCAGUUGAUGAGGAAACCCAGGUUGUGCAUGAGGGAAAUCCUCUAAUGCAGAUGUUUCUGAAGUUGAUGAGGGUCCUGUGCCAUCAGGAGUAUAUCAUCUAGAUAUAUUAUUAGGCAAACCCCUCUGCUGCGUAGCAGCGCAACCACUGGCUUCAUACGUUUUGUAAAACACCAUCGUGCCGAAAAAAAAACAAAUGGGAGGCAGUUGAAUCGCCACAUGGUCCGUUCUCAUUGGACUUGGAGAUAUUGUUGGCAGUCCUCUGCCAUUGGUAUGGUGAGAUAGGCGUUUUGUAUGUCGAGUUUGACCAUCCUGUCCCCUGAGGGGAGAAGAUCUCGGAGGGAGUGUAUACCUUCCAUUUUGAAGUGGUGGUAUGUGACAAAUGCGUUCAGUGGUCGAAGAUUUAUGACUGGUCGAACACCUCCCCCUUUUUUGGGGACCAGGAAGAUAUUGCUCAAGAAACUGAGUCUGGGGUGGAAUUUCCCGAAUUGCACCUUUUGGAUGCUAGGGAUUGAAUUUCUUGUGACACCAAGCCCCGGUCGUGGGUAGAGAACACUAUACGGUUUGGGAGGGACCACUGAACGGGGUGUUGAACAAAAUCUAUAGAAUAUCCCAUGACCGUAUGGAGGACCCAAGCAUCUGAGGUUAACAUGUGCCAAGCAUGUGCAAAUCUUUUCAAUCUGCCCCCCACCAUAGGUAUAGUAGAAAUAUUGAUCUUACCAUAAGGCCGUCAGCCAUAGGAAGAACCUCUGUGUCCACACGCCUGUCAAGUUCUGCCACGAACUUGGAAGAACGGUGAGGCGGACUUUUGUUCAGGUGGUUGAAACCUGGCAUGCACAGAGGCUCGGGAUCCACAUGAGGAACGGCCGGGCAGACGGCCCCGAUAUCUGCCGGCGCCACCAAAAACUCUGAGAGAACACUCUUUUCAUGUUGGCUUGCGCCGUAUCGAGUGCUGUGAAUGUCCCUACGUAUGUGUCUAACUCCUUCAUGAAGUUGUCCCCAAAUAAAAGCCCUUAAGACUGCGCUCCAGGCUCUGAGAUCGCAAGGUUUACUAACUUUGGGUCUAUUUUCAUCAAAAUAGACUUGCGUCUCUCCGUGGCCACUGCCAAAUUAGCAUUACCCAGUAGGCACCCACAUCUUUGUACACAGCCCCUGAUGGCCAUUAAGUCAGCAGGGGCACUCCCAGCCAAUGCCAUUUCGACCUUGUGGAAAAUCUUGGCACUUGAUCCCAGAGCGUCCAGGAUUAUGUCCUGGCAGCUUCGCAAGGAGAAAUCCAGGCCUUUUUUGGCCUUCAAUCCUGUUUUGCCAAGAAAUUGGGCUAUUUUAAGAUCCACGUCUGGCAUGGUACGGGCCAUAUCGGGGAGAUUGGGACGUGGGCAUUCCGCCCUAAAGUUUAUUCUGUGCCUCUUUAAGUGGUUUCCUUAUACAUGCGGCAGCGUACUUAGCCAUGUGGCCCAAAGGGUACCACUCCGAAGAACAUGGAUACUGUAAGCUGUCCGGAUCAAAGAGUGGUUCGCCUUGAGGAUCCAGAAGGGCGGAGUCAUCCACCCUAGCCCUGGCAUCAUUGCCAGGACCUGACAAGGGGCUGUGGUCAGGCAAAUCUGUGCCGGAAUCAUAGGCGUCCUCAUCGGACUUGCUCGGUGCCUCUUGUUCCAAUUCAGAGUCGGAAGAUUCUCUGAGGGCAUUUGCCCUCUUUUCCAGGUCCUCACCGAUUUUUCCUGGUGGGGGGGAUCUCUAUUGUGGUGUAACCACAUUCUUAGUGACUGGACGUACCCUGUCCGUCUUGAGAGUUUUGGAAGACUCAACGUCUAUAUGACAGGAUUUCUUAGCGGAUUUACACCCACUAGGGUCUACCGACUUACUCUCCAGGUGGUUUAGAGCCAUUAGGGCAGGUGGUCUGUAGGCGGACAGUAGGGCCCGAGUGAUGGCGCGUGACAGGGUAUCCAUUCUCUUUAAUGUUUUUAUUAGUGAUAUUGCAGAAGGUUUUGAUGGUAAGGUAUGUCUUUUUGCUGAUGAUACUAAGAUAUGUAACAGGGUUGAUGUUCCAGGAGGGAUAAGCCAAAUGUCAAAUGAUUUAGGUAAGCUAGAAAAAUGGUCAGAGUUGUGGCAACUGACAUUUAAUGUGGAUAAGUGCAAGAUAAUGCAUCUUGGACGUAAAAACCCAAGGGCAGAGUACAGAAUAUUUGAUAGAGUCCUAACCUCAACAUCUGAGGAAAGGGAUUUAGGGGUGAUUAUUUCUGAUGACUUAAAGGUAGGCAGACAAUGUAAUAGAGCAGCAGGAAAUGCUAGCAGAAUUCUUGGUUGUAUACGGAGAGGUAUUAGCAGUAGAAAGAGGGAAGUGCUCAUGUCAUUGUACAGAACACUGGUGAGACCUCACUUGGAGUAUUGUACGCAGUACUGGAGACUGUGUCUUCAGAAGCAUAUUGAUACUUUAGACCGAGAGUUCAGAGAAGGGCUACUAAACCUGUUCAUGGAUUGCAGGAUAAAACUUACAAGAAAAUGUUAAAGGAUCUUGACAUGUAUAGCUUGGAGGGAAAACGAGACAGGGGCGAUAUGAUAGAAACAUUUAAAUACAUAAAGGGAAUCAACACAAUAAAGGAGGAGACCAUAUUUAAAUGAAGAAAAACUACCACAACAAGAGGACAUAGUCUUAAAUUAGAGGGGCAAAAGUUUAAAAAUAUCAGGAAGUAUUACUUUACUGAGAGGUUAGUGGAUGCAUGGAAUAGGCUUCCAGCUGAAGUGAUAGAGGUUAACAUAGUAAAGGAGUUUAAAGGAACACUAUAGUCACCCAGACCACUUCAGCUCAAUUAAGUGGUCUGGGUGUCAGAUCACUCAAGGGUUAACCCUGCCUGAUGUAAACAUAGCAGUUUCUAAGAAACUGCCAUGUUUACAUCUGGGGUUAAGCCAGCCUCUAGCCUCUUCCAGACAGCCACUAGAGGCGCAUAGGCAAUGAUUGAGGCAUAUCAAUCCAUAGGAAAACAUUUUUUUUUCUCUUUCUCUCUCUUUCUCUCUUUUUUUUUUUUCCUCUUUUUUUUUUUUCCUCUUUUUUUUUUUUCCUCUUUUUCCUUUCACCUUUACAAAUUGUGUGCCAUGAUGGGCAGAAUUGUCACUCCUGGGCUGCCAUAUGGUCUCAAAGGAAGGCCCAGUGAAAUAAUCUGGCAAAUUUCUAUGUGUAGAAACUGAAAAUGGCAAGCUCUUUAUUUGACCCCGUAACUUUUCAAAACACCAUUAAACCUGUGGAGGAAUUGUUGUAAACGGGAAACACCACAGCAUACAAAUGUGUUUUAUUGUAGUAAAAACUAACCGUAUUAUUGACAUGUACAACUUGGGGAAAAAAAGUUUUCAUUUUAUUCAUAUUAAAUUUUUGUUCCUUAGUUGAUGUGAAAUGAAAGCUCUCUUAUUCCUGAAAAAAAAAAAAAAAAAUAUAUAUAUAUAUAUAUAUAUGCCCUUAAUAUGAAAGGAAAUGCGCGCACUGGACCACCCCAUAGGAAAGCAUUGAAUCAAUACUUUCCUAUGGGGAAAAUCUGACACUGGAUGUUCUCAUGCAGACCGUGAGGACGUCCAAUGUCCGUUACCUGACCAGAUGUCUGUUUGGAUGCAGAAAGUGCCUCCAGUGGCUGUCUGGGAAACAGCCACUGGAGGCAGACUUAGUGCAAUAUAAACCAUUUCUGCAGUUGCUAAUCUGUCACAGAAUCCCAUUCCUCUUACAGUGGCAGACAGAUUUGUUGGAAAUAAAAAACAAAACAUUUUCACAUACCCACUGAUUUAAUUUAUUCUGAUGAUGAACUGGAAGUGGCACUUAUGUGAACCAAAAAAUAGCCAGAAUGGAAAAAGAAUAAAUAAGCGCAGAAAUAAAUAUUUUGUGCCGAUAAGGAAAUUUCAUAAGUACCAGAAAAACAGCUUAAAAAAAUUAAGUUGACACUUUAUAUAACCCCCAAAGUAAGUGUGGCCUGUGAAGCAUGUUUGUGCAGUUAUAAAUACCAUUGCUGUAUUGGUUGGGGUGCAGGAGUGGCCUGGCUUAAUUUAUUUGAAAUUAUUUGACAUCGUACCUGAGUCCUUUAAGGACCACAAAUAUUGCCUGCAGUCAUCAGCAAAGCACUCUCGGCUAAUGAGCAAGGUGCUACUUUGUUCUCUGCACUAGCGCAAUCUUGAAAGGGGUGUAUUCAAUGUGGGUGCUUAAAGGACCACUAUAGUGCCAGGAAAACAUACUCAUUUUCCUGGCACUAUAGUGCCUUGAGGGUGCCCCCACCCUCAUGGUCCCCCUCCUGCCAGGCUCUGGGGAGAGGAAGGGGUUAAAAUCUUAUCUUUCUCCAACGCCGGGCAGGGAGCUCUCCUCCUCCAUAGCGACAUCAUCGGCUGAAUGUGCAUGCGUGACAGGAGCCGCGCGCGCAUUCAGCCAGUUGAUAGGAAAGCAUUUACAGUGCUUUCCUAUGGAUGCUGGCAUCUUCUCACUGUGAUUUUCACAGUGAGAAGCACGCAAGCGCCUCUAGCGACGGUCAAGAGACAGCCACUAGAGGCUGGAUUAACCAUAUUAUAAACAUAGCAGUUUCUCUGAAACUGCUAUGUUUAUUAAAAAAAGGGUUAAUCCUAGAUGGACCUGGCACCCAGACCACUUCAUUAAGCUGAAGUGGUCUGGGUGCCUAUAGUGGUCCUUUAACAGGAACCAAAUAAGUUGUCAAACUGCUAAAACAAUGGGUCGUCAACAGGGCCCUCCUGUCACCAUAACCUUUACAGCAGUCUGUAGUAGUUCUGGUGCUUGGUGUGCUAUUUUAGAAACAUAGAAUGAGAUGGCAGAUGGCCCAUCUAGUCCGACCAAUUUUUUACUUUCAUUAGUACCUGGCCUUAUUUUAUAUCUAGGGUAGCCUUAUGCCUAUGCCACAAGUGCCUAAACUCCCUCACUGUGUUAAACUCUAUCACUUCAGCUGGAAGGCUAUCCAUGCAUAUUUCCUGAUAUUUUUAAACCUCUGCCCCUCUAAUUUAAGACUGUCCUCUUGUGGUAGUUUUUUAUUAUUUUUUUUUAUUUUUUAUAAAUAUACUCUCCUACUUUACUGUGCUGAUUGCCUUUGGGAUUUUUUUUUUUUGUUUGUUUGUUUUUAAUGUUUCUAUUAUAUCCCUUCCCUACCGUCUCGUUUUUGCUCCAACCCAUACAUCUUCCUUUAGCCUUUCUUGGUAAGUUUUACCUUGCAAUCCAUGAGCCAGUUUAGUAGCCGUUCUCUGAACGCUCGCCAAAGUAUCAAUAUCUUUAUGGAGAUAGUUAAUACAAUGUUAAACAAAAGUCUGCACACCAGAUACAUAUAUAGAGUACAAUACUUCAAGGGACACUAUAGUCACCUGAACAACUUUAGCUUAAUGAAGCAGUUUUGGUGGAGAGAACAUGCUACUGCAGCCUCACUGCUCAAUCCUCUGCCAUUUAGGAGUUAAAUCCCUUUGUUUAUGAACCCUAGUCACACCUCCCUGCAUGUGACUUGCACAGCCUUCCAUAAACACUUCCUGUAAAGAGAGACCUAUUUAGGCUUUCUGUAUUGCAAGUUCUGUUUAAUUAAGAUUUUCUUAUCCCCUGCUAUGUUAAUAGCUUGCUAGACUCUGCAAGAGCCUUGUGUAUGUGAUUAAAGUUCAAUUUAGAGAUUGAGAUACAAUUAUUUACGGUAAAUGACAUCUGUUUAAAAGUGAAACUUUUUUUUUUUUUUUUUUUCAUGCAGGCUCUGUCAAUCAUAGCCAGGGGAGGUGUGGCUAGGGCUGCAUAAACAGAAACAAAGUGAUUCAACUCCUAAAUGACAGUGAAUUGAGCAGUGAAAUUGCAGGGGAAUGAUAUAUACACUAAAACUGCUUUAUUUAGCUUAAGUAAUUUAG